rnacentral:misc_RNA from 1 species
GUACAUCUCAAUCUCCACCGUUGACCAUACUUGCAAGGACGAACCCGAAGCCCUUGGAUCAAAAGCAGACGACAGGUUUGGCGCUUUUCAUUCCCAACCCUCGGAUCCAUCUUGUAUGACAAGACCCUGAGCCGUUGGAUUAAGAAGAGAAAGGACAAAUAUUCUGAAUAGGAUCUCAGUCGUCCAUUUUGAUUCUCUUUAAUUCUCAGACAUCGGAUCAUGUACCUUUGAAUCCAAACCCUCCAUCUCCCCCAGGGAGAUCCUGACCCUUCAUUAAGAGCACCCGUUCCCUAUAAAUUCCUGCAUGCAAUACUGUAGAAGGGACGGACAAAAAAGGUGGUGGUAAUUAUAGUGGAAAG